AUGGAGCAACUGAAUCUAGAGGAUGAACUGUUCAAUGAUCUAGUAAUCGACGAAGAUGAUCCGGAGAUCAAUGAAAGUGUGCGAUGGCUAGCCCUAGCUAGGGUUCAUACGGAGAAAUCCUUUAGCCACACGGCCUUCUACAAGGACAUGCGGGCGGCCUGGAACCCGGCGCAACAAGUGAGGUUUCGACCAGCCGGCCCCAAACUGUUUGUCGUUCAGGCAUCCUGCCUCGGCGACUAUGAA
rnacentral:rRNA from 1 species